CCAGACUCCUACGGGAGGCAGCAGUGGGGGAUAUUGCACAAUGGGGGAAACCCUGAUGCAGCGACGCCGCGUGAGUGAAGACGGCCUUCGGGUUGUAAAGCUCUGUCAAUCGGGACGAAGAAGAUGACGGUACCGAUGAAGGAAGCUCCGGCUAACUACGUGCCAGCAGCCGCGGUAAUACGUAGGGGGCAAGCGUUAUCCGGAUUUACUGGGUGUAAAGGGGGCGCAGACGGCGAUGCAAGCCAGGAGUGAAAGCCCGGGGCCCAACCCCGGGACUGCUCUUGGAACUGCCGGGCUGGAGUGCAGGAGGGGCAGGCGGAAUUCCUAGUGUAGCGGUGAAAUGCGUAGAUAUUAGGAGGAACACCAGUGGCGAAGGCGGCCUGCUGGACUGCAACUGACGUUGAGGCUCGAAGGCGUGGGGAGCAAACAGGAUUAGAUACCCGAGUAA
rnacentral:rRNA from 1 species